UGGGGAAUCUUCCGCAAUGGACGAAAGUCUGACGGAGCAACGCCGCGUGAGUGAUGACGUCCUUCGGGUUGUAAAGCUCUGUUAAUCGGGACGAAUGGUUCUUGUGCAAAUAGUGCGAGGAUUUGACGGUACCGGAAUAGAAAGCCACGGCUAACUACGUGCCAGCAGCCGCGGUAAUACGUAGGUGGCAAGCGUUGUCCGGAAUUAUUGGGCGUAAAGCGCGCGCAGGCGGAUUGGUCAGUCUGUCUUAAAAGUUCGGGGCUUAACCCCGUGAUGGGAUGGAAACUGCCAAUCUAGAGUAUCGGAGAGGAAAGUGGAAUUCCUAGUGUAGCGGUGAAAUGCGUAGAUAUUAGGAAGAACACCAGUGGCGAAGGCGACUUUCUGGACGAAAACUGACGCUGAGGCGCGAAAGCCAGGGGAGCGAACGGG
rnacentral:rRNA from 1 species